rnacentral:snRNA from 2 species
GGAUAUGAGGAAUAUAUGGCUGUGACAUCACCCCGUUGAUCAUUGGAAUGGAUUUGGCUCAUCUGGUUGGGGAGGUGGGUGUCCCCUUCCUCCCUCACCACUCCGUGUGUUUCCUUCCCAAAGCUGCACACUCGCUCAGUCUAAGACCAGUCUAUCUCAGUCGAAGACUGAGAUCUAUCUUUCCUGAUAGAGGAGGACUGAUUUUUUUCCUCAAAGGUAUACCAAUAGCUGUGCUCCCUUGCUAGAAUCUCCAAAAAAAAUUCUCAAGGUCCGUUUGUAGGAGAAGGUAGUGUGGUCACGCUUCCAUAAAUUUAAAACAAACAAAAAAUGGUAUAU